ACUGUUAUAAUGUCACACACGUGUGUGCUCGUCGUGCGGAGGAAGACGUGCCAAUUUGUCCGUUUGCGUGGGAGGCAGUGGUCCAGUAUAAUAAAACAAGAUGCAAACCUCUGACAUAAGACUUUCACCCCUGAGGGCCCUUCGAUUAUCAGGCUUGUAUUAGACCACGAUCACGCGUUACGUUCGUAAUUCUUCUAAUCUAUUAUCCGAUCCCUGUAUAAUUAUGUAACGAAAAUAAAAGACAAGGAAGUGGAAGCCGGUUGAACUUUGCGUUUGUGAAGCAGGCUAUAAGGCUAAGAGCUGCGGUCUUAGUACUGUUAAAAUAGACUCGUGGGAAUGGACUUGCAGGCGUAGACGCACCUCGAUCGUCGAAGGAAAUGCAAACACUGCACUUCAUUACACUUAUAGAUCCAAUAAGAAAGAGGAAAUCGUCAUGGCGUGCGAGUGCGCCGAUUCACACCUUUAACGGCACCACGUGACAUCAUGAUGUGUAGAAAAAAAAAGGGAAAAAAUAAACAACAACAGAUACGAAACCUGCGAGCUCGCGAUGCAUCGAAUACGGUGCGUGUGUAACGGAUUGAUCAACAUUUAGUGCCGAUUAAGAAAAUUUAUUUUUAUUUCUACAUGCGGUAUCAAUCUGUUCGUGUAUCUAAUUAUAUACAUACAUCUACUUUCUGUUUCUGUAUCGAAAGAAUUAAACAUAAAGCAAUAAAUGCAUCACGAAGUGUAUUUCGUAU